AGGCUUAACACAUGCAAGUCGAGCGGGCGUAGCAAUACGUCAGCGGCAGACGGGUGAGUAACGCGUGGGAACGUACCUUUUGGUUCGGAACAACACAGGGAAACUUGAGCUAAUACCGGAUAAGCCCUUACGGGGAAAGAUUUAUCGCCGAAAGAUCGGCCCGCGUUUGAUUAGCUAGUUGGUAGGGUAACGGCCUACCAAGGCGACGAUCAGUAGCUGGUCUGAGAGGAUGAUCAGCCACAUUGGGACUGAGACACGGCCCAA
rnacentral:rRNA from 1 species